rnacentral:misc_RNA from 1 species
GAUGAAGAACGUAGCGAAAUGCGAUAAGUAAUGUGAAUUGCAGAAUUCAGUGAAUCAUCGAAUCUUUGAACGCACAUUGCGCCCGCCAGUACUCUGGCGGGCAUGCCUGUCCGAGCGUCAUUUCAACCCUCGAGCCCCCCCUCCGCCCCCGGCGGCGGCGGGGCUCGGCGUUGGGGGUCCACGGCCCAGCGCCGCCCCCGAAAUGCAGUGGCGACCCCGCCGCGGCCUCCCCUGCGCAGUAGCUCCCAGAGAACCUCGCACCGGAAGCGCGGAGGCGGUCACGCCGUAAAACAACCUCCUCCUGGAAGUUGACCUCGGAUCAGGUAGGGAUACCCGCUGAACUUAAGCAUAUCAAUAAGCGGAGGA